rnacentral:rRNA from 1 species
UACGUAGGGCGCAAGCGUUGUCCGGAAUUAUUGGGCGUAAAGAGCUCGUAGGCGGUUUGUCGCGUCUGCUGUGAAAGACCGGGGCUCAACUCCGGUUCUGCAGUGGGUACGGGCAGACUAGAGUGCAGUAGGGGAGACUGGAAUUCCUGGUGUAGCGGUGAAAUGCGCAGAUAUCAGGAGGAACACCGGUGGCGAAGGCGGGUCUCUGGGCCGAUACUGACGCUGAGGAGCGAAAGCGUGGGGAGCGAACAGG